UACAGGUUACAUACAGGUUACAUACAUACAGGUUACAUACAUACAGGUUACAUACAUACAGGUUACAUACAUACAGGUUACAUACAUACAUGUUACAUACAUACAGGUUACAUACAGGUUACAUACAUGUUACAUACAUACAUGUUACAUACAUACAGGUUACAUACAUACAGGUUACAUACAUACAGGUUACAUACAGGUUACAUACAUACAGGUUACAUACAGGUUACAUACAGGUUACAUACAUACCGGUUACAUACAGGUUACAUGCAUACAGGUUACAUACAUACAGGUUACAUACAUACAGGUUACAUACAGGUUACAUACAUACAGGUUACAUACAGGUUACAUACAUACA
ensembl:lncRNA